GACAGAGGGGGCAAGCGUUGCUCGGAAUUACUGGGCGUAAAGGGCACGUAGGCGGGAUGGCAAGUCGGUCGUGAAAUCCCUCGGCUCAACUGAGGAUCGUCGAUCGAUACUGCCGUUCUUGAGGAUUGCAGAGGAGACUGGAAUUCCCGGUGUAGCGGUGAAAUGCGUAGAUAUCGGGAGGAAUACCAGUGGCGAAGGCGGCCUUCUGGACUAUAACUGACGCUGAGGCGCGAAAGCUAGGGGAGCAAACGGG
rnacentral:rRNA from 1 species